GGUAUUCAGCUUACAUUUGUAAGGUUUUAUCUAGUAAACAUCACUCAGCUGGAUGUCCAGUGUGACCUAUCAUUAUUAUUGUUUUCUAUGAAAACUCUGACCCCUAAAAGAUUGGAAGCAUGGAGUGAGGUUACACAUGAUUUCUGCCUUCUCACAUCCUGAUAUGGAACCUACUCCCUGCAUAAGAUAUAAACAUACUCUAAAUACCUCACCAUUCAUAUAUGAUAUUGGCAUAAUGCACCGGGUUUUUAAAGCACCUUGGCCUUUAUGCUUUCAAUAAUAAUAAUUAUUCCCAAUGUAAAGAUACAACAACCAUGGCCUAAAUAAGAUUUUAAGUGACAUAGAUAGGAAACAACCCCAGAAUUGGAGCAUGCUACAUUGACAAUCGAGCCUCCCUUACACACCUUACUGUGUAUAAUCCACUUCUCAACUCAAAGGACUGAGUGAUCACAUCAAUGAAAGCUUGUUGUUGGUGGUGGCGGUGGGGGGGCAGGUUAUAUUAGCAGGAGCCUCUUUUACUUAGUCUUCUUAGCAUGCUGACAAGGCCACUGCUUACUCUGCUUCCUUUAGCUGGGUUAGUCCAAGUACAAGGAGGUCUCAUUCAUUUGUGAAUGCAUUUAAUUUCUAGGGAAAGCAACUCAUGCAAGUGUGCUCAUUCUUAGCAGUUUGCCUUGGGAAAGUCAACCUCACCUCUCCAUGUCUGACUUUUCUCCUCUGUACAAAUGUACAGAGAAGAAAGAAAGUCAGAAGAUUGAGUCUUACUGUCCUGACAGGUAUCCUGAGAUGUGUUAUCUUAAGGGAACGCUUUUCUGGAACAGAAAAGAACUUCCAACUAAUACGGCUACUUCUAAGGUAA